GCCGCCGUAGCUCAGUUGGUAGAGCAAUGCUUUCGUAAAGCAUGGGUCGUGUGUUCAAGUCACAUCGGCGGCU
rnacentral:tRNA from 2 species